UACGUAGGGUGCGAGCGUUGUCCGGAUUUAUUGGGCGUAAAGAGCUCGUAGGCGGUUUGUCGCGUCGGCCGUGAAAUCUCCACGCUUAACGUGGAGCGUGCGGUCGAUACGGGCAGACUUGAGUUCGGUAGGGGAGACUGGAAUUCCUGGUGUAGCGGUGAAAUGCGCAGAUAUCAGGAGGAACACCGGUGGCGAAGGCGGGUCUCUGGGCCGAUACUGACGUGGAGGAGCGAAAGCGUGGGGAGCGAACAGG
rnacentral:rRNA from 1 species